GCCGGGGUGGCGGAAUUGGCAGACGCCAGGGACUUAAAAUCCCUUGACCCGGAUACGGGUCGUGCCGGUUCGACUCCGGCCCCCGGCA
rnacentral:tRNA from 1 species